AUUGAACGCUGGCGGAAUGCUUUACACAUGCAAGUCGAACGGUAGAGGGGGCAACCCCUUGAGAGUGGCGAACGGGUGAGUAAUAUAUCGGAACGUGCCCAGUCGUGGGGGAUAACGUAGCGAAAGUUACGCUAAUACCGCAUACGAUCUAAGGAUGAAAGCGGGGGAUCGCAAGACCUCGCGCGAUUGGAGCGGCCGAUAUCAGAUUAGGUAGUUGGUGAGGUAAAGGCUCACCAAGCCAACGAUCUGUAGCUGGUCUGAGAGGACGACCAGCCACACUGGAACUGAGACACGGUCCAGACUCCUACGGGAGGCAGCAGUGGGGAAUUUUGGACAAUGGACGCAAGUCUGAUCCAGCCAUUCCGCGUGCAGGAUGAAGGCCCUCGGGUUGUAAACUGCUUUUGUACGGAACGAAAAGGUUUGUCUUAAUACGAUGAGCUCAUGACGGUACCGUAAGAAUAAGCACCGGCUAACUACGUG
rnacentral:rRNA from 1 species